rnacentral:rRNA from 1 species
UCGGACAGAAGGGAGCUUGCUCCCGGAUGUUAGCGGCGGACGGGUGAGUAACACGUGGGUAACCUGCCUGUAAGACUGGGAUAACUCCGGGAAACCGGAGCUAAUACCGGAUAGUUCCUUGAACCGCAUGGUUCAAGGAUGAAAGACGGUUUCGGCUGUCACUUACAGAUGGACCCGCGGCGCAUUAGCUAGUUGGUGGGGUAAUGGCUCACCAAGGCGACGAUGCGUAGCCGACCUGAGAGGGUGAUCGGCCACACUGGGACUGAGACACGGCCCAGACUCCUACGGGAGGCAGCAGUAGGGAAUCUUCCGCAAUGGACGAAAGUCUGACGGAGCAACGCCGCGUGAGUGAUGAAGGUUUUCGGAUCGUAAAGCUCUGUUGUUAGGGAAGAACAAGUGCGAGAGUAACUGCUCGCACCUUGACGGUACCUAACCAGAAAGCCACGGCUAACUACGUGCCAGCAGCCGCGGUAAUACGUAGGUGGCAAGCGUUGUCCGGAAUUAUUGGGCGUAAAGGGCUCGCAGGCGGUUUCUUAAGUCUGAUGUGAAAGCCCCCGGCUCAACCGGGGAGGGUCAUUGGAAACUGGGAAACUUGAGUGCAGAAGAGGAGAGUGGAAUUCCACGUGUAGCGGUGAAAUGCGUAGAGAUGUGGAGGAACACCAGUGGCGAAGGCGACUCUCUGGUCUGUAACUGACGCUGAGGAGCGAAAGCGUGGGGAGCGAACAGGAU